rnacentral:tRNA from 1 species
CGAGGUGUGGCGCAGUCCGGUAGCGUGCUUCGUUCGGGACGAAGAGGCCGGAGGUUCAAAUCCUCUCACCUCGACCA